rnacentral:rRNA from 1 species
UACGGAGGGGGCUAGCGUUGUUCGGAAUUACUGGGCGUAAAGCGCACGUAGGCGGAUCGUUAAGUCGGGGGUGAAAUCCUGGAGCUCAACUCCAGAACUGCCUUCGAUACUGGCGAUCUUGAGUCCGGAAGAGGUGAGUGGAACUCCUAGUGUAGAGGUGGAAUUCGUAGAUAUUAGGAAGAACACCAGUGGCGAAAGGCGGCUCACUGGUCCGGUACUGACGCUGAGGUGCGAAAGCGUGGGGAGCAAACAGG